rnacentral:rRNA from 1 species
GACGAACGCUGGCGGCGUGCCUAAUACAUGCAAGUAGGACGCACAGUCUAUACCGUAGCUUGCUACACCAUAGGCUGUGAGUUGCGAACGGGUGAGUAACGCGUAGGUAACCUGCCUAUUAGAGGGGGAUAACUAUUGGAAACGAUAGCUAAUACCGCAUAACAGUAUGUAACACAUGUUAGAUGCUUGAAAGAUGCAAUUGCAUCGCUAGUAGAUGGACCUGCGUUGUAUUAGCUAGUAGGUAGGGUAAUGGCCUACCUAGGUGACGAUACAUAGCCGACCUGAGAGGGUGAUCGGCCACACUGGGACUGAGACACGGCCCAGACUCCUACGGGAGGCAGCAGUAGGGAAUCUUCGGCAAUGGGGGGAACCCUGACCGAGCAACGCCGCGUGAGUGAAGAAGGUUUUCGGAUCGUAAAGCUCUGUUGUUAAGGAAGAACGAGUGUGAGAAUGGAAAGUUCAUACUGUGACGGUACUUAACCAGAAAGGGACGGCUAACUACGUG